rnacentral:rRNA from 1 species
UAGCUUGCUAAUAAUUCUCUAGUGGCGCACGGGUGAGUAACACGUGAGUAACCUGCCCCCGAGAGCGGGAUAGCCCUGGGAAACUGGGAUUAAUACCGCAUAGUAUCGAAAGAUUAAAGCAGCAAUGCGCUUGGGGAUGGGCUCGCGGCCUAUUAGUUAGUUGGUGAGGUAACGGCUCACCAAGGCGAUGACGGGUAGCCGGUCUGAGAGGAUGUCCGGCCACACUGGAACUGAGACACGGUCCAGACACCUACGGGUGGCAGCAGUCGAGAAUCAUUCACAAUGGGGGAAACCCUGAUGGUGCGACGCCGCGUGGGGGAAUGAAGGUCUUCGGAUUGUAAACCCCUGUCAUGUGGGAGCAAAUUAAAAAGAUAGUACCACAAGAGGAAGAGACGGCUAACUCUGUGCCAGCAGCCGCGGUAAUACAGAGGUCUCAAGCGUUGUUCGGAAUCACUGGGCGUAAAGCGUGCGUAGGCUGUUUCGUAAGUCGUGUGUGAAAGGCGCGGGCUCAACCCGCGGACGGCACAUGAUACUGCGAGACUAGAGUAAUGGAGGGGGAACCGGAAUUCUCGGUGUAGCAGUGAAAUGCGUAGAUAUCGAGAGGAACACUCGUGGCGAAGGCGGGUUCCUGGACAUUAACUGACGCUGAGGCACGAAGGCCAGGGGAGCGAAAGGGAUUAGAUACCCCUGUAGUCCUGGCAGUAAACGGUGCACGCUUGGUGUGCGGGGAAUCGACCCCCUGCGUGCCGGAGCUAACGCGUUAAGCGUGCCGCCUGGGGAGUACGGUCGCAAGAUUAAAACUCAAAGAAAUUGACGGGGACCCGCACAAGCGGUGGAGUAUGUGGCUUAAUUCGAUGCAACGCGAAGAACCUUACCUGGGCUUGAC